rnacentral:rRNA from 1 species
UCGGGAAUUUUGCGCAAUGGACGAAAGUCUGACGCAGCAACGCCGCGUGAGGGAUGAAGGCCUUCGGGUUGUAAACCUCUUUUAUCAGGGAAGAUAAUGACGGUACCUGAUGAAUAAGUCACGGCUAACUACGUGCCAGCAGCCGCGGUAAUACGUAGGUGACAAGCGUUGUCCGGAUUUACUGGGCGUAAAGAGCGCGCAGGCGGUCGUUCAAGUCGAGUGUGAAAGCCCCCGGCUCAACUGGGGAGGGUCAUUCGAUACUGAUCGACUCGAAGGCAGGAGAGGGUAGUGGAAUUCCCGGUGUAGUGGUGAAAUGUGUAGAUAUCGGGAGGAACACCAGUGGCGAAGGCGACUACCUGGCCUGUUCUUGACGCUGAGGCGCGAAAGCUAGGGGAGCAAACGGGAUUAGAUACCCCGGUAGUCCUAGCCGUAAACGAUGGACACUAGGUGUUGGUGGUAUCAACCCGCCAGUGCCGAAGCUAACGCAUUAAGU